ACGUUAGCGGCGGACGGGUGAGUAACACGUGGGUAACCUACCUAUAAGACUGGGAUAACUUCGGGAAACCGGAGCUAAUACCGGAUAAUAUUUCGAACCGCAUGGUUCGAUAGUGAAAGAUGGUUUUGCUAUCACUUAUAGAUGGACCCGCGCCGUAUUAGCUAGUUGGUAAGGUAACGGCUUACCAAGGCGACGAUACGUAGCCGACCUGAGAGGGUGAUCGGCCACACUGGAACUGAGACACGGUCCAGACUCCUACGGGAGGCAGCAGAU
rnacentral:rRNA from 1 species